CCUACGGGUGGCAGCAGUGGGGAAUAUUGCACAAUGGGGGAAACCCUGAUGCAGCGACGCCGCGUGAGUGAAGAAGUAAUUCGGUAUGUAAAGCACUAUCAGCAGGGAAGAAAAUGACGGUACCUGAGUAAGAAGCCCCGGCUAACUACGUGCCAGCAGCCGCGGUAAUACGUAGGGGACAAGCGUUAUCCGGAUUUACUGGGUGUAAAGGGAGCGUAGACGGCAGUGCAAGUCUGGAGUGAAAGGCGGGGGCUCAACCCCCGGACUGCUCUGGAAACUGGACGGCUGGAGUGCAGGAGAGGUAAGUAGAAUUCCUAGUGUAGCGGUGAAAUGCGUAGAUAUUAGGAGGAACACCAGUGGCGAAGGCGGCUUACUGGACUGUAACUGACGUUGAGGCUCGAAAGCGUGGGGAGCAAACAGGAUUAGAUACCCCUGUAGUC
rnacentral:rRNA from 1 species